GACAGAGGGGGCAAGCGUUGCUCGGAAUUACUGGGCGUAAAGAGCGUGUAGGCGGCCUGACAGGUCUGCUGUGAAAACUCGAGGCUCAACCUCGAGAUGUCGGCGGAAACCGUCUGGCUAGAGUCCGGAAGAGGAGAGUGGAAUUCCUGGUGUAGCGGUGAAAUGCGCAGAUAUCAGGAAGAACACCUAUGGCGAAGGCAGCUCUCUGGGACGGUACUGACGCUGAGACGCGAAAGCGUGGGGAGCGAACAGG
rnacentral:rRNA from 1 species